GGGUAUGGUGGUGCACACCUGUGGUCCCAGCUACUCGGGCAGCUGAGGCAGGAGGAUUGCUUGAACUCAGGGGUUGGAGACCAACCUGGACAACAUAGCCAGACCCCGGUUCCA
rnacentral:sRNA from 1 species